rnacentral:lncRNA from 1 species
UCAUGGUCAUGAGUCUCGAGUCAGCAGUGGUACAAAUUCGCAAUGAUUGCAGUUCUUCUAGUUGAUCGUAAUUGUUCGUAUUAGUUGACUGUUAGUAUUUCAAGUUGACUUUAGUACGAGCUUGUAAAAGUAUGAAUGGACUUGCUUCCCUGGAAAGAAAACUGAGUUUGUGUUCUACAGUACAAAAGUUAUGAGACACAAAUCAGACAAAUGUUUACUACUACAGGGAUCAAUAGUGAGGUCUGACUGACCUGUCCAUAGUAAAUGUAAAUGACUCCCACCUUCAACCCAAGUCCAUGAUGUCUAAGUUUGGAAUAAAAUGACAGGUGUUAGGUCUAACAAAGUGAUAUGCAUAUGUGACGCCUAUGAGAUUGACCUUGUAUGUCAUUCAAUCUUUUUUGAAAUGACAAACAGGAAUGAAUAUGGUUUAGGAGUUGGUAUCUCAAUCUUUUACAAGUUCUCAAAACACACACAAGAGGGUGUGAGUGACCCUAGGGACUAUCCCUAUUUUUCAUUUGAUUUUUUAUAUUGUCCCAUACAUGAAUAUAUAUAGUUUA